GCAAACUGUAAGCUUGCCGUUCGCAUAAUAAAACUGCCGAACGUGCGAAUAGAAAAUCUAUGCGAACUGCCGAACGUGCGAAUAGAAAAUAGAUGCGAACGCCUAAAAAGGCGAUCGCGUCAAACUGCCGAACGAAGCGUUCGGUUGAAAGAAACGAAUAGUCAAUGUGCGGUCGCACAGAAACGACCGCGGGCAUUCGUGUCAAACAGGCGAAUGCGCAAAAAACUAC